AACACUGUUAACCUGCGGUACCUGCGGAGGGAUCAUUAUUGAAUAAACUUGGUCAAGCUGUUGCUGGUCCUUCGGGACAUGUGCACGCUUGCCACCAAUUUUAACCACCUGUGCACUUUUUGUAGACUUGGAAACGUUUCUCGAGGCAACUCGGAUUGAGAACUGCUGGCGCAAGUCGGCUUUUCUUAUGUUUUCUCAGUCUAUGUUUUCAUAUACACCUAAUGUAUGUAUCAGAAUGUA
rnacentral:misc_RNA from 1 species